UCUGUGCCUCAUUUAUUUUUCUUUCUCAAAUUAUUGUUGCAAUCUGAUCUAUCCCACUUCCGCGGGCGCAACACAACUAUGGGCUUAGUUAUGCCAUACGCUACAUGUAGUGGAUGGUGAACUGGAAAAGAUCAAAGCAACCCCUCUCGGCCAAAGAGCAUCAACUUCUAUUCAUUAUUGGAUUUGUUAGUUUUGACAAUCAACUCGGAUCACAAUAUUGGAUAUAUUUAGGCAAUAACCACCUUAGUGACAAGAUCCCAACAAGCAGCAAAAUGAACAUGAUUAGUGAUGGAUUUGGUUUCUUAUGCCAAUAACACUGGACUACGCGAAUUCCAAAUUCAAGUGCCUUGUCCGCGGAAGGAUUUGUCACCACCAACCUCACAACAUGAGGAGUGUGAUGAUGAAGAGGAAGGAGUGUGGUUCGGCUGGGGGAAUGUGGAUUGGAUUCUCCACACUCUGUAUUCCAUCUCUACUGUGCUACCAUUUUGGUCAGCUUCGAAGAAGACUAAUUCUUUUUUCUCAUGUGUGUACAUAGAUUUUACCUUCUGAUAUGAACAGAGUUAUUGGGA